rnacentral:lncRNA from 1 species
AUGGGAACAAACAAGACAACAAGUUUCUUGGCAUGUGAGUGCAAAGUUCGUAUCUCCACCUUUUCCGAGAGUUACCUGGAGUGAAGCCAGGACAGGGUGAAAAACAGAAUGAACGAAGCCAUGCCCGAAAACAGAGGUAAGCCCUGAGUACUUUACCCCUGCUCCCUGGGCUAAGCCUCAGGUGUAUUUCUAACAGACACCAGCAUUUUCCACUGCUUUCCCAGGCAGCUCCUGACAUAAGAGACAGGGAUUUGUACAGAGAAGAAGAAAAACUACAAGGAACCGGCAACAGGAGAAACCAGGAAGGAUGUUUUAUUCUGUCUAGACAAUCUACAUUCAAGACAUAAGAAAAGGAAGUAGCAGACACCCUGCUUGGGCUUGUGCACCGUGUGGCUUGGCCCUGAUCCCUGACAAUGGUCUGGCCAUUGAGUGUGAAAAGUCAGACCCCUGUGAUCUACUUCAGCUUAAAAACUGCACCUUAUUGAAGACAGCACGAGGAACAGUACAGGGGAGAGAUCAAGCACACAUGUGAAUGUCACAUUCAUUUGUUCUGUGAUUCUACAAACACGCUGAGAAGAAUGAAUCCCAGCAGUGGUACAGAAAUCUGUCUGCAUUGUGGAGAAAAGAAAUGUGGUGACCUCAUUUUUCAUAAGCUGUAUUGCUAUGACCUCUACAUCCCAUCUGCACCUGCACCACGGAACAAGGAGCAGACAGAUGUUGACAGCUUCAUUAAUGAGAAGAUUGUUGAAGUCCUGGAGAAAGAUGGUUACUGCUGUUACCAUGGCUGCAGGAAUUUUGUUGGUGGAGAUACCAUCAUACAGGCCAUACAGAAACCCAUGAAGAUUAUCCCUGUUACACUUAUACCUGUCUACAAAGACCAGUACUCUCUAACUCUUUUAGACAUGCUUGUAACUGCAGAUAAACUGAGGAGGAUCAUACUGCUGUUGUUUGAUGCCACCCAAAUUAAGCCCGAUCUAUGGCAAUGUUGUUUUUCAGUAGAAGCAAAAGACCCCAAACUUUUGGAUAAAAUAAAGAAAACUAUAGAUCGUCGUAGAAAACGGUCAUCACGGAGAACGAAACAAAUAGUGUCAAGAGAAAUAGACACAGG